GACGUAGGGCGCAAGCGUUGUCCGGAUUUAUUGGGCGUAAAGAGCUCGUAGGCGGCUUGCCACGUCUGCCGUGAAAACCAGCAGCUUAACUGUUGGCUUGCGGUUGAUACGGGUUGGCUGGAGUUCGGUAGGGGAGACUGGAAUUCCUGGUGUAGCGGUGAAAUGCGCAGAUAUCAGGAGGAACACCCGUGGCGAAGGCGGCUUCCUGGGGCCAUCCUGACACUGAGAAGCGAAAGCUAGGGGAGCGAACGGG
rnacentral:rRNA from 1 species